rnacentral:rRNA from 1 species
GAUGAACGCUGGCGGCGUGCCUAAUACAUGCAAGUCGAGCGAACGGACGAGAAGCUUGCUUCUCUGAUGUUAGCGGCGGACGGGUGAGUAACACGUGGAUAACCUACCUAUAAGACUGGGAUAACUUCGGGAAACCGGAGCUAAUACCGGAUAAUAUUUUGAACCGCAUGGUUCAAAAGUGAAAGACGGUCUUGCUGUCACUUAUAGAUGGAUCCGCGCUGCAUUAGCUAGUUGGUAAGGUAACGGCUUACCAAGGCAACGAUGCAUAGCCGACCUGAGAGGGUGAUCGGCCACACUGGAACUGAGACACGGUCCAGACUCCUACGGGGGGCAGCAGUAGGGAAUCUUCCGCAAUGGGCGAAAGCCUGACGGAGCAACGCCGCGUGAGUGAUGAAGGCCUUCGGAUCGUAAAACUCUGUUAUUAGGGAAGAACAAAUGUGUAAGUAACUGUGCACAUCUUGACGGUACCUAAUCAGAAAGCCACGGCUAACUACGUG